ACUCAUAACCGCAUCAGG
rnacentral:snRNA from 1 species